rnacentral:misc_RNA from 1 species
AACGCACAUUGCGCCCCUUGGCAUUCCGAGGGGCAUGCCUGUUCGAGCGUCAUUACAACCCUCAAGCCUGGCUUGGUGUUGGGGCCCGCGGUCUCGCGGCCCCUAAAAUCAGUGGCGGUGCCUUCUGGCUCUCAGCGUAGUAAUUCUUCUCGCUACAGGGUCCGGUGGGCGGCGGCCAGAACCCCCCAUUUUUUAGUUUGACCUCGGAUCAGGUAGGGAUACCCGCUGAACUUAA